rnacentral:sRNA from 1 species
UGGAUGGUUAGUUCAGCGUUCACGUCCA